rnacentral:ncRNA from 1 species
CAUUGUUUUUAAUCAAAAUUACACAUGCAAGCCUCCACGCCCCAGUGAAAAUGCCCACACAACCCUAAAUAGCCAAGUGGAGCAGGUAUCAGGAUCUCAAACAAACCGAAGCCCACAACACCUUGCUACGCCACACCCACACGGGUACUCAGCAGUGAAUAACAUUAAGAAAUAAGCGAAAGCUUGACUUAGUUAUGAUUAAGCUUGGCCGGUAAAUUUCGUGCCAGCCACCGCGGUUAUACGAAAGGCCAAAAACAAUGACCCUCGGCGUAAAGCGUGAUCAGAAUAUAUGUCAAAGAAUUGAAGGGAAACCAAACCAAAAUUGUAAAAUAUAUUGGUACAAGAACCCCACCAACAAAAUGCCUUCAAAUAAAAGACUAUUCAACCUCACUAAAGCUAGGAAACAAACUAGGAUUAGAUACCCUACUAUGCCUAGCCCUAAACAUAGAUGGUUAAACACACAAAACCAUUCGCCAGAGAACUACAAGCGAAAAGCUCGAAACUCAAAGGACUUGGCGGUGCUCCACAUCAUCCUAGAGGAGCCUGUCCUAUAAUCGAUACCCCACGCUUUACCCCACCAUUCUUUGCAGCCCAGCCUAUAUACCGCCGUCGUCAGCUUACCUUGUGAAAGAAACAAAGUAGGCAAAAAAGUUUACAACUAGCACGUCAGGUCAAGGUGUAGCAGAUAGAAUGGAAGAGAUGGGCUACAUUUUCUGCCACAGAAAAAUACGAAAGGUGUAAUGAAACACACACCCAAAGGAGGAUUUAGAAGUAAGCUAAAUAAGAGUCUUUAUCUUAAAUUUGCUCUGGAGCGCGCACACACCGCCCGUCACUCUCAUCGUCCAAAAAUAAACUUAACAUAUAAAAAUACUAACAACAUAGAUGAGGCAAGUCGUAACACGGUAAG